AAGUCGUAACAAGGUUUCCGUAGGUGAACCUGCGGAAGGAUCAUUAAAAAAUAAUCCUUUGGAUUAUAAAUCCAUACCCACCUUUUGUGUACUGUAACUUGUCCAUUGCUUUUCUUCCCGGAUUUUUUUCGUCGGCGAGGUCUCUUUGGGGGCUUUGAUGUCGGGAUGCCGGGGAGGAGAGCGAUAUAUCACACACGUUUAUCUUUUACCAAGUCUGAAGUACAACUUUUUGCGAAAGCAGAAAUUAUUAAAACAACUUUCAACAACGGAUCUCUUGGCUCCC
rnacentral:misc_RNA from 1 species